CCUACGGGAGGCAGCAGUGAGGAAUAUUGGUCAAUGGGCGGGAGCCUGAACCAGCCAAGUCGCGUGAGGGAAGACGGUCCUAUGGAUUGUAAACCUCUUUAGGCGGGGAGCAAUGCCGGGCACGCGUGCCCGGAGGGAGAGUACCCGCAGAAUAAGCAUCGGCUAACUCCGUGCCAGCAGCCGCGGUAAUACGGAGGAUGCGAGCGUUAUCCGGUGUGAUUGGGUUUAAAGGGUGCGUAGGCGGAUUUUUAAGUCAGCGGUAAAAUGUCCGGGCUCAACCCGGGCCGGCCGUUGAAACGGGGGAGCUUGAGUGGGCGAGAAGUAUGCGGAAUGCGUGGUGUAGCGGUGAAAUGCAUAGAUAUCACGCAGAACUCCGAUUGCGAAGGCAGCAUACCGGCGCCCGACUGACGCUGAGGCACGAAAGCGUGGGGAUCGAACAGGAUUAGAUACCCCGGUAGUC
rnacentral:rRNA from 1 species